AUUAUUCGCCCCUCAUGUCCCGCCAAACCCAGAUCAUUAUCGUUAGAACCAGUUUCGAAAACGCCGCGCCUUAGAAACAAAAACCCCCGCGCGCGAUUCCAUACUCCAAGACUCAGACGUAAUAUUAUUGUAGGACGGAGACCUGGCGCUUACGGAUUUUUAAAUAAUUGAUCUAUGCCGUAGUACUGUUUGAAGAUAGCGGUAACCCGAGUGGGAUAUAAUAAGCUGGGUGGGUUUUUUUAUCGUGGGCAAAUCUAUCCUUGUCUGUCUCUGCGUUGUCAACGCGAGUUCUCGAAAGGUAAGCUUCUUGUCGCAAAAAGUAACGUCGCCACAACAACUUUCUCGUGGAGAAGGUAGCGCGCAGUCAAACUGCUGGUGGAGAAAGUAAGAAAAUUGAUCCUCCUCGUGGAAAGAGUCACAACAAUUUACAGUCAACAAUUUACAAAAAUACUUUCGUUUCAAGGGUGUUGUGUGGUGCUCUGUGGUGCUGUGCUGUGUGGUGCCGUGUGGUGUGGUGAAGUGCGGUGUUCAUGAGUUCAUUUUGGGAAA